UACGGGGGGGGUAAGCGUUGUUCGGAAUUACUGGGCGUAAAGGGCUCGUAGGCGGCCAACUAAGUCAUACGUGAAAUCCCUCAGCUUAACUGGGGAACUGCGUGUGAUACUGGAUGGCUUUGGAUUUGGGAGAGGGAUGCGGAAUUCCAGGUGUAGCGGUGAAAUGCGUAGAUAUCUGGAGGAACACCGGUGGCGAAGGCGGCAUC
rnacentral:rRNA from 1 species